AUCCAAUCCAUCAUCGUCGUCGUCAUAUUGAUUUCCAACGAUCAUCGUGUCGCUGGGCAGCGGGCCAUGGGACCAGCUCUUCGGCGGAGGAACGCGCCAUCCUUCUGGGUGGCUGCCGCGGCCUCCUUUGUGGGCGGGCUGGUAGCCAUCCUGGGGCUCCCGCGGGCCCGGCUCGGGCCGAAGAAGAAAACCACCCAACGAUGAUGAUUCGAGCCGAGUAUACAGAGACAUCGUUAUGUUGCAGACAAGGAAGGAAGGCAGGUUGGUCUCAAGUUGCGACCAUUCAUUCUUUGCACACUGGUUCCAAGACACCGGGAACGCUGCCUACACUACACUAGGCAUGGGGAGUCUGUAUAUUGUCAUCAUCAAGUUGGGUUCGGUUCAAAUUCAAGGCCAAAAGUAGGAGGGCUCUGGAAUUUUCCUCCAUGGGCCCUAGCGUCGCCUUUUUUCCGCUUGUCGGUGUGAAACAUGGUCAGUCAUAUGUUGUUGUAUGUCGGAUAUUUUGCCAUUUUGUCGGAGAUUAUCAACCAAUCAAUAAAAGUUGCAGGGUUUUGUUUGAGAUUA